rnacentral:rRNA from 1 species
CCUACGGGUGGCAUCAGUGAGGAAUAUUGGUCCAUGGUCGGUAGACUGAACCAGCCAAGCCGCGUGAGGGAUGAAGGUACAGAGUAUCGUAAACCUCUUUUGUCAGGUACCCAAGGCGGGGACGUGUCCCCGGCUGAGUGUACCUGCAGAAAAAGCAUCGGCUAACUCCGUGCCAGCAGCCGCGGUAAUACGGAGGAUGCGAGCGGUAUCCGGAUUUAUUGGGUUAAACGGGUGCGCAGGCGGUCUGUUAAGUCACCGGUCAAAGCCCGGGGCUCAACACCGGCCCGCCGUUGAAACUGGCAGUCUCGAGUUGGAGAGAAGUAUGCGGAAUGGGCGGUGUAGCGGUGAAAUGCAUAGAGAGCGCGCAGAACUCCGAUUGCGAAGGCAGCAUGCCGGCUCCACACUGACGCUGAGGCACGAAAGCGUGGGUAUCGAACAGGAUUAGAUACCCCUGUAGUC